rnacentral:tRNA from 1 species
UCCCUGGAGGACUAGUGGUUAGGCCACAGCACUCUCACCACUGAGGCCCGGGUUUGAUUCCCAGCCAGGGAA